rnacentral:rRNA from 1 species
CCUACGGGAGGCAGCAGUGAGGAAUAUUGGUCAAUGGGCGUAAGCCUGAACCAGCCAAGUCGCGUGAGGGAUGAAGGUUCUAUGGAUCGUAAACCUCUUUUAUAAGGGAAUAAAGUGUGGGACGUGUCCUAUUUUGUAUGUACCUUAUGAAUAAGGAUCGGCUAACUCCGUGCCAGCAGCCGCGGUAAUACGGAGGAUCCGAGCGUUAUCCGGAUUUAUUGGGUUUAAACGGUGCGUAGGCGGCCUUUUAAGUCAGCGGUGAAAGUCUGUGGCUCAACCAUAGGAUUGCCGUUGAAACUGGGGGGCUUGAGUAUGUUUGAGGCAGGCGGAAUGCGGGGGGUAGCGGUGAAAUGCUUAGAUAUCACGCAGAACCCCGAUGGCGAAGGCAGCCUGCCAAGCCAUGACUGACGCUGAUGCACGAAAGCGUGGGGAGCAAACAGGAUUAGAUACCCCAGUAGUC